CCCUUAGAUGUUCUGGGCCGCACGCGCGCUACACUGACGAUGGCAACGAGUUUUUCCUUCGCCGAAAGGUGUGGGUAAUCUUUUGAAACAUCGUCGUGCUGGGGAUAGAUCAUUGCAAUUUUUGAUCUUGAACGAGGAAUUCCUAGUAAGCGCGAGGCAUCAGCUCGCGUUGAUUACGUCCCUGCCCUUUGUACACACCGCCCGUCGCUACUACCGAUUGAAUGGUUUAGUGAGGACUCCUGAUUGGCGCCGCCGCCCCGGCAACGGAGCAGCGGACUGCCGAAAAGUUGUUCAAACUUGAUCAUUUAGAGGAAGUAAAAGUCGUAACA
rnacentral:rRNA from 1 species